rnacentral:lncRNA from 10 species
CCUGGAACCUCAGGUUUGGCUUGGCAAAUUCAUUAGCUAUUUCGUAGCCUUACUCACCCUGUUUUGUCACCUGUCAUCCACAGAACCAACAGCAAAAUACACUCCCCUUAAGGUUACCUUUGAGAAUUAGGACCAUCAAAAGGAGAAGAUCGGCUACCCUACAGGUAUAAAAGGCACAUGAUAGGAUGGAAUUCCUCAGCCCUCCUGAAGUUAGGCCACUGCAAGAGGCCUAACUGGCUUGCUUUGGCCAGUGAAAUAAGAGCAGAAGUCACAUGUGUUGUUACUGUCAGGCACAAGUAUUUAACUGCCAAUGUAACACAAGACACUCCAGCACCCUCUUUUGAUGGAGCCUCCUUUGAUCUGGAUGCCUGAGUGACUAUGAUGAUCAGAGACUCUAACACUCCUACUGACCCAACAGAGAGCAAUAGUGAGAAAUAAAACUGUUGUGUUAAGCUACUGAGAUUCCAGGGUUGUUUGUUACUGCAGCAUGAUGUAGCCAUCCUGACUGAUACAAGCUGAGAUAGGAGUCCAUAUAAAGUUCACAGGGACACAAACAGGGGAAUAUUAGGUCUCUCUAGAAGAUCAGAAAGGUUUCAUCAAUGAACUUGAGAUAGCCUUAAAAGAUGAGUGUUUACCUGACAAGGAAGAGAUGCAAGCAUCCAGGUGAGCAAUGAAACCCCAGAGCGCAUUAAAGGAACUGCAAGUUCAGGACCUUUCAGGGCUGGGGAGGGAAGGAAGGCCACAAUGACACUAGACCAGGGAGGAAGGAGAGAAUGCCUUAUGGAAGAAACAGCAUUUACAGCUUGUAAGGCGAUUUGCUAUAUGGAAUUUUAGAUAAGGAAGUGAUAUGAUUUGAUUUGCAUUUCAGAAAUAUUAUUCUGGAAUCAGUAUGUAGGGGCUGGAAGACCAGUUAAGAGACAUUUAGAGUCCUGGCAAGACAACAGGGGCUAAAAGCAAGCACAGAAAUGAGGAAGGGAAAGCCAGCACCAACGUUGAGGCAUAGACCACGGGGCCCCUGAGCCCUCCUCUGACUCUCAGAACACCUGGGUGUCUUAUCACAUUGCAC